rnacentral:rRNA from 1 species
ACUACGGGAGGCAGCAGUGGGGAAUAUUGCACAAUGGGGGAAACCCUGAUGCAGCGACGCCGCGUGAGUGAAGAAGUAUUUCGGUAUGUAAAGCUCUAUCAGCAGGGAAGAAAAUGAAGGUACCUGAUUAAGAAGCCCCGGCUAACUACGUGCCAGCAGCCGCGGUAAUAGGUAGGGGGCAAGCGUUAUCCGGAUUUACUGGGUGUAAAGGGAGCGUAGACGGCAGCACAAGUCUGGAGUGAAAAGCCGGGGCUUAACCCCGGAACUUCUUUGGAAAAUGUGCAGCUAGAGUGCAGGAGAGGUAAGUGGAAUUCCUAGUGUAGCGGUGACAUGCGUAGAUAUUAGGAGGAACACCAGUGGCGAAGGCGGCUUACUGGACUGUAACUGACGUUGAGGCUCGAAAGCGUGGGGAGCAAACAGGAUUAGAUACCCGAGUAGUC